AGCGAACGCUAGCGGCAGGCUUAACACAUGCAAGUCGAGCGCCAGGUUUCGGCCUGGAGCGGCGAACGGGUGAGUAACACGUAGGUCACGUACCCUAUGGUGGGGAAUACCCCGGGGAAACUCGGAUCAAUGCCCCAUAUGUCCGAAAGGAUGAAAGCGCUUCGGCGCGCCAGAGGAUCGGCCUGCGGCCCAUUAUUUAAUCCUAGUUGGUGAGGUAACGGCUCACCAAGGGUACGAUGGGUAGCUGGUCUGAGAGGACGAUCAGCCACACUGGAACUGGGACACGGUCCAGACUCCUACGGGAGGCAGCAGUGGGGAAUAUUGGACAAUGGGCGAAAGCCUGAUCCAGCCAUGCCGCGUGAGUGAUGAAGGCCUUCGGGUUGUAAAGCUCUGUCGUGGGGGAAGGGCUGUAGGCUAAUACCUUGCAGUUUUGACGUUACCGACAGAAUAAGCACCGGCUAACUUCGUGCCAGCAGCCGCGGUAA
rnacentral:rRNA from 1 species